rnacentral:rRNA from 1 species
GACGGGUGAGUAACACGUAGGUGACCUGCCCUAAAGAUGGGGACAACGGAUGGAAACAUGCGCUAAUACCCAAUGGACCUGUACUGUCGAAGGUAUAGGUAAAGCUUCGGCGCUUUAGGAGGGGCCUGCGGCCCAUCAGCUAGUUGGUAGGGUAACGGCCUACCAAGGCAAAGACGGGUAGGGGGUGUGAGAGCAUGACCCCCCACAAUGGGACUGAGACACGGCCCAUACUCCUACGGGAGGCAGCAGCAGGGAAUAUUGCACAAUGGACGGAAGUCUGAUGCAGCGACGCCGCGUGGAUGAUGAAGGCCCUCGGGUCGUAAAAUCCUUUUCAGGGGGAAGAGGAAGGACGGUACCCCUGGAAUAAGCGUCGGCUAACUACGUGCCAGCAGCCGCGGUAAGACGUAGGACGCAAGCGUUAUCCGGAUUUACUGGGCGUAAAGCGUCUGUAGGCGGUUGGGUAAGUUGGGCGUGAAAGCUCCGUGCUCAACGCGGAGAGGUCGUUCAAUACUGCCGAACUAGAGGACAUCAGAGGAGCAUGGAAUUUCCGGUGUAGCGGUAAAAUGCGCAGAUAUCGGAAGGAACACCAGUGGCGAAGGCGGUGCUCUGGGGUGUGCCUGACGCUGAGAGACGAAAGCUAGGGGAGCGAACAGGAUUAGAGACCCUGGUAGUCCUAGCCCUAAACGAUGGAUGCUAGAUGUGGGGCCGAGAAGGCUCCGUGUCGCAGUUAACGCGGUAAGCAUCCCGCCUGGGGAUUACGGCCGCAAGGCUAAAACUCAAACGAAUUGACGGGGCCCCGCACAAGCAGCGGAGCGUGUGGUUUAAUUCGAUGCUACACGAAGAACCUUACCUGGGUUUGACAUGUAAGUGGUAGUGAAGCGAAAGCGGAGCGACCCUUCGGGGAGCUUACACAGGUGCUGCAUGGCUGUCGUCAGCUCGUGCCGUGAGGUGUCGGGUUAAGUCCCGUCACGAGCGCAACCCUUGCCCUCAGUUACAAGUGUCUAAGGGGACUGCCGGCGGUAAGCCGGAGGAAGGUGGGGACGACGUCAAGUCAGCAUAGCCCUUAUAUCCAGGCCU